rnacentral:tRNA from 1 species
AGGGGGCAAUAAAACCUGCUAACUCUUUAAUCUGGGAAUAACCUCCAGCCCCCUC